rnacentral:sRNA from 1 species
CAACAUAGAAAAGUACGACAGUGUGCAG